GCACCAGUUUGUUGUCCGCC
rnacentral:siRNA from 1 species